UUCCCAGACUCCUACGGGAGGCAGCAGUGGGGGAUAUUGCACAAUGGGGGAAACCCUGAUGCAGCGAUGCCGCGUGAAUGAAGACGGCCUUCGGGUUGUAAAGUUCUGUCGCAGGGGACGAAAAUGACGGUACCCUGCAAGAAAGCUCCGGCUAACUACGUGCCAGCAGCCGCGGUAAUACGGAGGGUGCGAGCGUUAAUCGGAAUUACUGGGCGUAAAGCGCUCGUAGGCGGUAUGUCAAGUCAAGGGUGAAAUCCCCGCGCUCAACGCGGGAACUGCCUUUGAAACUGGCAAACUGGAGUGUGUGAGAGGAUAGUGGAAUUCCAGGUGUAGGAGUGAAAUCCGUAGAUAUCUGGAGGAACAUCAGUGGCGAAGGCGACUAUCUGGCACAUAACUGACGCUGAGGAGCGAAAGCGUGGGUAGCAAACAGGAUUAGAUACCCUUGUA
rnacentral:rRNA from 1 species